rnacentral:tRNA from 2 species
GGAGAGAUGGCUGAGCGGUUGAUAGCUCCGGUCUUGAAAACCGGUAUAGUUCGAAACAAAGAACUAUCGAGGGUUCGAAUCCCUCUCUCUCCU